AUUGAACGCUGGCGGCAGGCCUAACACAUGCAAGUCGAGCGGCAGCGGGAAAGUAGCUUGCUACUUUUGCCGGCGAGCGGCGGACGGGUGAGUAAUGCCUGGGAAAUUGCCCAGUCGAGGGGGAUAACAGUUGGAAACGACUGCUAAUACCGCAUACGCCCUACGGGGGAAAGCAGGGGACCUUCGGGCCUUGCGCGAUUGGAUAUGCCCAGGUGGGAGUAGCUAGUUGGUGAGGUAAUGGCUCACCAAGGCGACGAUCCCUAGCUGGUCUGGGAGGAUGAGCAGCCACACUGGAACUGAGACACGGUACAGACUCCUACGGGAGGCAGCAGUGGGGAAUAUUGCACAAUGGGGGAAACCCUGAUGCAGCCAUGCCGCGUGUGUGAAGAAGGCCUUCGGGUUGUAAAGCACUUUCAGCGAGGAGGAAAGGUUGUUGGCUAAUACCCAACAGCUGUGACGUUACUCGCAGAAGAAGCACCGGCUAACUCCGUGCCAGCCGCCGCAGUAACAC
rnacentral:rRNA from 1 species